CAUCUCUGAACUGGAGUUUGACAGUGGAGCAGCUGUUUCUUAGUCUCAGCAAAGUGGAAAAUAUUUAUUCUCACCUGGAUCAGAACCUGCUGAGCAGCUGCCACGUGAUUGGCUGAUUGGAAAAUGAAAUGAAGAAGCAGGUGAACUUAAUAAAAGGAUUAGGGCGUGUACAGAAUCAGUGAUGCUUCAUACUCACAACACAUCCUGUUAAAAAGUGUGAACGGGGGAUGACACUCCGGGUCUGGCAACCCUCUCCAGGUAUCAGCUGAGGCUCUGCACAACAUGGCACCUCCUUACCUCUCUGACCUCCUCCACAACUACACACCCACCCAUACUCUCUUCCUCCUCCCUGCUCCUCACCUCACCUCCUGCCCGGCUGUCUUCCAUGUGGUCAAGAGCCUUCAGCUGUGCAGCCUCUGGAACUCUCUCCCACAAGCCAUCAGUGGACCUGACUCUCCCCCCACCUUCAAAUCCUGUUUAACCCUGU